GUCCACGCCGUAAACGAUGAAUGCUAGACGUCGGGGUGCAUGCACUUCGGUGUCGCCGCUAACGCAUUAAGCAUUCCGCCUGGGGAGUACGGCCGCAAGGUUAAACUCAAAGGAAUUGACGGGGCCCGCACAAGCGGUGGAGCAUGUGGUUUAAUUCGAAGCAACGCGCAGAACCUUACCAACCCUUGACAUGUCCACUACCGGCACCAGAGAUGGUGUCUUCGGUUCGGCCGGGUGGAACACAGGUGCUGCAUGGCUGUCGU
rnacentral:rRNA from 1 species